rnacentral:rRNA from 1 species
AUUGAACGCUGGCGGCAUGCCUUACACAUGCAAGUCGAACGGCAGCACGGGAGCAAUCCUGGUGGCGAGUGGCGAACGGGUGAGUAAAGUAUCGGAACGUGCCCAGUCGUGGGGGAUAACGUAGCGAAAGUUACGCUAAUACCGCAUACGAUCUAUGGAUGAAAGCGGGGGAUCGCAAGACCUCGCGCGAUUGGAGCGGCCGAUAUCCGAUUAGGUAGGUGGUGGGGUAAAGGCUCACCAAGCCGACGAUCUGUAGCUGGUCUGAGAGGACGACCAGCCACACUGGGACUGAGACACGGCCCAGACUCCUACGGGAGGCAGCAGUGGGGAAUUUUGGACAAUGGGCGAAAGCCUGAUCCAGCCAUGCCGCGUGCAGGAUGAAGGCCUUCGGGUUGUAAACUGCUUUUGUACGGAACGAAAAGGUUUGGCCUAAUAAGCUGAGCUCAUGACGGUACCGUAAGAAUAAGCACCGGCUAACUACGUGCCAGCCGCCGCAGUAA